rnacentral:rRNA from 1 species
UACGUAGGGGGCAAGCGUUGUCCGGAUUUAUUGGGCGUAAAGCGCGUGUAGGCGGCCACGCAGGUCCGCUGUGAAAACUCGAGGCUCAACCUCGAGCUGUCGGUGGAAACCGCGUGGCUAGAGUCCGGAAGAGGGGACUGGAAUUCCCGGUGUAGCGGUGGAAUGCGCAGAUAUCGAGAGGAACACCUGCGGCGAAGGCGGGUUGCUGGGCUGACACUGACGCUGAUGCGCGAAAGCCAGGGGAGCGAACGGG